UACGUAGGAGGCGAGGCGUUGUCCGGAAUUACUGGGCGUAAAGAGCGCGUAGGCGGCGCGAUACGACCGAAUGUGAAAGCCCCCGGCUCAACUGGGGAGGGUCAUCGGUAACGGUCGUGCUAUGAGUGCAGGAGAGGGAAGUGGAACUCCGGGAGUAGCGGUGAAAUGCGUAGAUAUCGUAAGGAAGACCAGUGGCGAAGGCGAAUCUCUGGACAGUUACUGACACUGAGCACGAAGGCCAGGGGAGCAAACGGG
rnacentral:rRNA from 1 species